CAGGGAGACAACAAAAUGUUUAAUAUUAUUAUUUUGUCACCUUAGGUCGAUCGGUAUCCCACGUUUUUAAUUUAUUAAGAAUUUCAUUUCCUAAGUUUUUCUAGGUCACACCCAUUAUUUUUCCUGGGCCAUUAGCUCAGGUGGUUAGAGCGCACCCCUGAUAAGGGUGAGGUCCCUGGUUCAAGUCCAGGAUGGCCCAUAUCUCUAUGUUGGGGGUAUAGCUCAGUUGGUAGAGCGCCUGCUUUGCAAGCAGGAUGUCAGCGGUUCGAGUCCGCUUACCUCCACUGAUUACCACCUCUUCCAUAUUCUUUAGAAAGGAAAUGUUUUGAGUUGUGAUCAAAUUCUGAACGAAUCUAGCUUCCUAAUGAAAUCAUUAAGAUGCUGGACUCAUUGAAUUUAAUUCAUUGUUUUCAGAGAACCUUGACAACUGCAUAGAUUAUUUUUAAAGACAAUAAGCAUCUUUAAUGAUGCAGAUUUAUUAUUUGUGCGAAUGCAUUAAUAACAAUUCUAUUAAGCUGAUGCUUCAAUUUUGAAGUUAUU
rnacentral:tRNA from 1 species